rnacentral:rRNA from 1 species
CCAGAGAACUUAGCAGAGAUGCUUUGGUGCCUUCGGGAACUCUGAGACAGGUGCUGCAUGGCUGUCGUCAGCUCGUGUUGUGAAAUGUUGGGUUAAGUCCCGCAACGAGCCGCAACCCCUAUCCUUUGUUGCCAGCGAUUCGGUCGGGAACUCAAAGGAGACUGCCGGUGAUAAACCGGAGGAAGGUGGGGAUGACGUCAAGUCAUCAUGGCCCUUACGAGUAGGGCUACACACGUGCUACAAUGGCGCAUACAAAGAGAAGCGACCUCGCGAGAGCAAGCGGACCUCAUAAAGUGCGUCGUAGUCCGGAUUGGAGUCUGCAACUCGACUCCAUGAAGUCGGAAUCGCUAGUAAUCGUAGAUCAGAAUGCUACGGUGAAUACGUUCCCGGGCCUUGUACACACCGCCCGUCACACCAUGGGAGUGGGUUGCAAAAGAAGUAGAUAGCUUAACCUUCGGGAGGGCGUUUACCACUUUGUGAUUCAUGACUGGGGUGAAGUCGUAACAAGGUAGGCGUAGCGAG